rnacentral:misc_RNA from 1 species
UGUUCGAGCGUCAUUGCAACCCUCAAGCUCUGCUUGGUGUUGGGCUCGGCCUCUGGGGCCAGCCUCAAAGCAAGUGGCGGCACUGGUCGACCCUCAGCACAGUAAUAAUUCUUGCUCCUGGGCUCGAUCAGCUGCAUGCCAGCAAACCCCCAUUAUCAAAGGUUGACCUCGGAUCAGGUAGGGAUACCCGCUGAACUUAA